UAACUGGAGCCGCCUCAGCUAGAUUUGACAAAUCCACCGGAUCAAAAUAAAUUGUUAUGGUGGAGACCUCUUCUUUUCCCAUAUCAGCCCUCUCAAUCAGAAUACUCCCAUUGUCCAUCAAACCCUGGACAGUCCUCCUCAAUAAUUCACACCCAUUCUGAACAACAGUGCACUCAGCACAAUCAAUACCACAGCCCGGGUGAACCCCAUUC
rnacentral:lncRNA from 1 species